UCAAUAAUGUAUUAUGAAAAGAGAAAUUCUCUUGAUAAUUUACAAGUGCAACUUAAAAGUGCACCAUUAAUGCAACUAAAAUGACGAUAUUAUGCAUGAAAUUUUUUUUGGAAGAAAUCCAAAUAGAAAUAAAAAUGCAACAUUCGAAGAUAAUUGAUCCAAAGAUAAUUUAUAGCGUACAAGUGUUGUAUAAAAAAAGUCUUUCUAAGAUUUAUAAUAUAUCCGGUUAUUCCGAAUUAUAUUCAUUCCUUCUCAAAAUCGAAGGAUAUGUUUAUUAUAGAAGAUUCUUUAUUCAAAAUUCUUCCCUUAACAAGUAGCAGUAUGAUGUAGUACUACUACAUAAGGAAUGCACGAAGAUAUUUCUUGCUAUUUCUUAUUUGUCUUAACACCGAAUACGCGUUUUUACUUUACUUUUUUUACUCUAACGCGCGCACAACUGAUUUUAAUGAAAAAAAAAAAAAAAAAGAAAACGCAAACAGUAAUGUCGAUGCAAAGUGAACAAAGUAUUCAGAAAAAAGCUAUUUCUCGAAAAAAUCUCAGGCGCCCAGUGAUCGAAGCACCCUUUAAUUAAUGUCUAUUUUCGGAAAACGAGCACUACAACGAGUGCCAACAAUAAUUCUUCCCUGGUAAUCCGAUCAUCACUGCAACAAGAAAAGAGAGAAACGUCAAAGUUUUAUUGUAAAGCCAUACCGGCCUCGGCACAAUCAUCGUUCAACAAUGCGAAUAAUAAUUCCUUCACACUUGAUGACACAAAAAAAACAUGCUUCCACUAAGAUUUAUUGGAUCGUUGUAUAUUCGCAAUGAAAAGUUUACCUAUUCAUGAAAGAUAUGAGAUACAAAUAAAAUGUUGGGAAAGAAACGAUCGGAGAGAAAAAAAAACUGUGAAAGAUGGGAGAAAUAACAAUUUCUGAAACUUUGAGAAUAGAUCGUGGCCUGAAGAUUUGGAAAAUAUCCAUUGUCAAUAAUGUAAAGAUUUCCAACUAUCAAAUAAUCAAUAGAAAAAUUCGAUGAACAAAAAGCAAAUGAUUCGCCUGAGGAAUUCUUUAUAUCUACCUCCAUCUUCCUGCAUGACCAGUUUUAGAAUAAGCUUUUCCUCCUUGAUAGUUGAAGAAACAUAGAGAUAACGAGAAUCAUAGGAACUAUACUGGCUUGCUAUAAUGAGAUUAGGGAUGAUCUAACAGGAUGGAAAAACAUGGGAAGACGAUGGAAAUUAUUCGGCUUGAAACUGAAAAACCUAAAAAAAAUAUAUAUAUGCGUGAAAAAAUAUCAUUGACAAUUGCUUAAGAAAAAAAAAAAAAAAAAAAAAAAAGAAAA